GAAGUUUACAAAGGGAAGGGUAUUAUGUACAUAGAUGAAGUUGUGAAGAAGAAGCAAGGCAAGAAAUCUAAGUGAUCAAGCAAUUGAGCAUGUGGUUGAUGGUAAUUCGGAAGAUAAACUGGUAGCUGGUGUAUGGUUUCUAAAACAUGAAAUUGUCGGAGUCCUAAAUUAUUUGUUUUUAGCUUCGCAAUUGUUGAAAUGUG
rnacentral:misc_RNA from 1 species